CAUGUCAUUGGUCAUAGUGAAAGUCUAUGUAGAAAUU
rnacentral:tRNA from 1 species